UACGUAGGGCGCAAGCGUUGUCCGGAAUUAUUGGGCGUAAAGAGCUCGUAGGCGGCUUGUCACGUCGGUUGUGAAAGCCCGGGGCUUAACCCCGGGUCUGCAGUCGAUACGGGCAGGCUAGAGUUCGGUAGGGGAGAUCGGAAUUCCUGGUGUAGCGGUGAAAUGCGCAGAUAUCAGGAGGAACACCGGUGGCGAAGGCGGUCUGCUGGGCAGUUGCUGACACUGAGGCGCGACAGCGUGGGGAGCAAACAGG
rnacentral:rRNA from 1 species